rnacentral:rRNA from 1 species
ACUCCUGCGGGAGGCAGCAGUGGGGAAUUUUGGACAAUGGGCGAAAGCCUGAUCCAGCAAUGCCGCGUGUGUGAAGAAGGCCUUCGGGUUGUAAAGCACUUUUGUCCGGAAAGAAAUCCUUGGCUCUAAUACAGUCGGGGGAUGACGGUACCGGAAGAAUAAGCACCGGCUAACUACGUGCCAGCAGCCGCGGUAAUACGUAGGGUGCGAGCGUUAAUCGGAAUUACUGGGCGUAAAGCGUGCGCAGGCGGUUUGCUAAGACCGAUGUGAAAUCCCCGGGCUCAACCUGGGAACUGCAUUGGUGACUGGCAGGCUAGAGUAUGGCAGAGGGGGGUAGAAUUCCACGUGUAGCAGUGAAAUGCGUAGAGAUGUGGAGGAAUACCGAUGGCGAAGGCAGCCCCCUGGGCCAAUACUGACGCUCAUGCACGAAAGCGUGGGGAGCAAACAGGAUUAGAAACCCAUGUAGUCCCAUGAU